rnacentral:rRNA from 1 species
UACGUAGGGUGCGAGCGUUGCCCGGAUUUAUUGGGCGUAAAGGGUGCGCAGGCGGCCGUGUGUGUGAGGCGUGAAAGCCCGGGGCUUAACCCCGGAAUUGCACCUCAAACUACAUGGCUAGAGCAUUGGAGAGGGUAGCGGAAUUCACGGUGUAGCAGUGAAAUGCGUAGAUAUCGUGAGGAACACCAGAGGCGAAGGCGGCUACCUGGACAAUUGCUGACGCUCAGGCACGAAAGCGUGGGGAGCAAAAGGG